rnacentral:rRNA from 1 species
GACGAACGCUGGCGGCGUGCCUAAUACAUGCAAGUAGAACGCUGAAGGAGGAGCUUGCUUCUCUGGAUGAGUUGCGAACGGGUGAGUAACGCGUAGGUAACCUGCCUGGUAGCGGGGGAUAACUAUUGGAAACGAUAGCUAAUACCGCAUAAUAGUAGAUGUUGCAUGACAUUUGCUUAAAAGGUGCAAUUGCCUCACUACCAGAUGGACCUGCGUUGUAUUAGCUAGUUGGUGAGGUAACGGCUCACCAAGGCAACGAUACAUAGCCGACCUGAGAGGGUGAUCGGCCACACUGGGACUGAGACACGGCCCAGACUCCUACGGGAGGCAGCAGUAGGGAAUCUUCGGCAAUGGACGGAAGUCUGACCGAGCAACGCCGCGUGAGUGAAGAAGGUUUUCGGAUCGUAAAGCUCUGUUGUAAGAGAAGAACGAGUGUGAGAGUGGAAAGUUCACACUGUGACGGUAUCUUACCAGAAAGGGACGGCUAACUACGUG